rnacentral:snRNA from 1 species
GGGCUCACCUGGGUGGCACUUAUACUGCAGUUGAAAUGAUGUAGAGAACAUUAGCAUAACUACUGCAAGCAUGACAGGCAUUUUUGUGAGAGUCAUAUUUUU